UGGAAGUUGGUCACCUUCGAACCCUUUGA
rnacentral:sRNA from 1 species